UGUAGCUCAGUGCAGAGCAUUUGUCAUGCAGGCAAGAGGCCCUGGGUUCAACCCCCAGCA
rnacentral:tRNA from 1 species